CAUCUUACCUGGCCCAAGAAAUACCAUGAUCAAGCAUUUAGUUUUCCCAGGCUGAGGCUCACCCAUUGUACUGCAGGUGUGCUGACUCCUAUAACUUUCCCAAAAUGGCAGAAGCUCGCGGUCAUAAUUUGUGACAGUGGGCAACUCAUCGCGCUCUCCCUGG
rnacentral:snRNA from 1 species